GAGUGUUAGAAAAGUGAUCGACGGUCACGAGAAUCAUAACGCAGGGUUUAGCAAACAAAGAAAUACCCAGGCGGUUUGUCGUUCUCAUUCUGUGUACGCUGCAUUUUAUGGGCAUUUGAGGUUGCGAGUUCGAGUCUCGCCCAAGCUUCCACACGCUGGAGAAGUUAAAGAUGUCGUCGAUGGCCAAGGUCUGCGUGCUGGUGGGCCUUGGCAUAGCGGGGCUUAUCAUUGUUAGCAGGCAAUGGGAGAAGAAGAAGAGACAGAAGAAGAGGAAAGAAGACUUUGGCGCCUUCAUCGAACGCCUUGAACUCCUUCCGCCUCCUCAGCCGGCUCCCCCUGUUGCCCGUCACAUUCUUACUGACCUCACCUUUGCACUCCAAGACAUCUUUGAUGUGGAGGGAUAUGUCACUGGUUUUGGCAACCCUGAUUGGCUCAGAACGCAUGACCCUGCAGCUAAAACAGCUGGUUCCGUCUCACUUGUUGUGGCUCAUGGUGCCACAUGUGUUGGCAAAACUGUCAUGGAUGAGCUUGCAUACAGCAUAACAGGGGAAAACAGACAUUAUGGAACUCCAACAAACCCAGCUAUAGCUUCACGAAUCCCUGGGGGAUCUGCAAGUGGUUCUGCUGUAGCUGUUGCAGCUAAGCUUGUGGACUUCGCUCUUGGUAUUGAUACAGAUGGAAGUGUAAGAAUUCCAGCUGCAUUCUGUGGCAUUUUGGGAUUCCGUCCUUCACAUGGUUCUGUUUCUACUUUUGGUGUUGUGCCAAUGGCGCAGAGUUUUGACACUGUAGGGUGGUUUGCAAGGGAUGCAAAUGUUCUUCGUCGUGUUGGUCAUGUCCUACUACAGUUACCAAUGGUUGACUUAAGACGACCAAGGCGUAUAUUAAUUGCCGAUGACUGUUUUGAGCUUUCAAGUACCCCAAAAGAGAAGAUUGUUGAUGUUGUUGUUAGAUCUAUUCAAGAUCUUCCUGGGCGCCAAGUUGUGAAUCAUGUGAACCUGGGGCAAUAUAUCACAUCCAAAGUUCCGAGUCUCAAGAUUUUUAGAAAUGAAGAAAGCAGGAAUGGAGAAGGGAAAUCAGCCUUGAAGGAUCUAAGCAAUGCAUUUGAGUUACUUCAAAGAUAUGAAUUCAAAAUGAAUCAUGAAGAGUGGGUUAGUACAGUCAAACCUCAUUUGGGAUAUGAAAUAUCGGUACGGGUGCGUGCAGCUCUAGAGAGUACUGAAGAAAAAAUUCAGUCUUGCCUUAAAGCCAGGAAUGAAAUGCGAGAAGCUCUCUGCAAUCUUUUGAAGGAUGAUGGAAUAUUGGUAAUUCCCACAGUCCCAAUCUUACCUCCCAACCUCAGGUCAAAGAAAAGACAAUUGGAGGAGUUUUAUUCAAGGGCGUUCUCAGUUUUGAGCAUUUCUGGCAUGUCUGGGUGCUGUCAGGUCAGCAUACCUUUGGGGAUGCAUGAAGGGUGUCCUUUGGCAGUGUCAUUGAUGGCUAGGCAUGGAGCAGAUAGGUUUUUACUAGAUACCAUUCUGGACCUGCAUCCUUCUCUUCAGAAACAAGCUGAGAUUGCAUCAAAUACACAGCCCUCAAUUUCUGAUGAUUGUCAAAUAGAUGCUGCAGAGAAUUAUAAAGAAAAGGGAAAUGCUGCUUAUAAGGGAAAACAAUUCCAUAAAGCUGUUAAUUUCUAUUCUGAGGCAAUCAAAUUAAAUGAUACAAAUGCUACUUACUAUAGCAAUCGAGCAGCAGCAUGUUUAGAAUUGGGAAGGUUUCAGCAAGCUGAAGAAGACUGUAGUAAAGCUAUUGAGAUUGACAGAAAGGCAAAACCAUAUAAAACUCAACAGAGGUGGUGGUGUGGCAAAGGGACAUUUCCCCCAAGUCCCUGCAUCUCAGAAAUGUUCCCAUCUCAGAAAUUCAGGGAUUUUUUUGGAAGCGGGGGUCCCACAUUGUCUUUUAGUGAGUUUGGUCUUCACAUGAGAAUGUUAAAGCGUAUUUAAGAAGAGGCACGGCAAGGGAGAUGCUUUCUUACAUUAAGGAUGCGAUUGAAGAUUUCAAGUUUGCUCUUGUGCUUGAGCCAACCAACAAAACAGCAAGCACCGCGUUAGAGAGAUUAAAGAAGUUUGUUUUAUAGACUUUGAAUUUUUUGCUCUCAUGAAAGUAACUUCAAGUCAGGGAUGAUUGAGGGUUGCUAAGGCAGAAUGUUAGAUUCUUUCAGGUUUAUUAAAUUUCAGUUCUAGUGAUUAAGGUGAUGAAGCCCGGCGGCCAGACAAUUAUAAUUUCACUUCUUGUACCUUGUAGAUGUCUCUAUUUUUGAUUUAUUGGUGCACACUAUAGAGGGAAUGCAGUUGUUUAACUGGUACAAUAGAACAAUUGGCUCAGGAUACAGUUUAAAUAAGCUACUUGACACAUACUACAAGGAUUUCAUUGUAGUUUUGGUCACAUCAUUCCUAGUGAACUUAAGCUGUGUUAAAGGGAAUGGUAGAUUGACAUAGGUGAUUUAUUCAACCUACCUCACAAGGAUCUAGUUUUUCUGAUAAAACUGAACAUCAGGGUGAUAUGAGGGCUGCCAGGAAGAUUCAGUGUGUACAUCAGAGAAGCAGUUUUGUUUAUGGUAAAUCUUUUCGACUUGCCAUGAGUGAAGGUUCAAAUUCACAAAUGGCAUUCAGUGGUUAUAGAAUUGUUGCUAUCAUCAUUUUUUGUAUUGGGAAUAUUUGCAUUGAAGAAUGGGAAAUUCAUUCACUGUAAUGUAAUGCCAUAGUAUAUGGUCAUCGCAACAUCCAUGUGGAAUUUGAAGGUUCAGCCUGAUACGCUUAUUUUUCCUUUCACCAUGGUAUUCAAUUGGAGCCUUGUGAAUAAUUUAAUGGUUAUUACAAAGGAAAAAACCAUUUUUGAGUAGAGAAGUUUCCUUAAUUCCAGAUGUAUUGUCCACUUUAACAAGGAUAUAAUUAUAUUUCACUUAACAGAUAUUUUUUAAAGCAGGCAUUUUGUUUUUACUGGACACGAUUUUAAGUACUUUAUAUGAAAGGCAUAUAUCUCGAACUAAAGCUGUUGCUUUUGGACAAAUUCGUUUUCCCCCUUUACAAUGUAUAUUAUGUAAUGACCCAUAUGAAUAACUAACAUUAAUGUUUGCCAUAAGGCCUUAAA